GACGAACGCUGGCGGCGUGCCUAAUACAUGCAAGUAGAACGCUGAAGCUUGGUGCUUGCACCGAGCGGAUGAGUUGCGAACGGGUGAGUAACGCGUAGGUAACCUGCCUGGUAGCGGGGGAUAACUAUUGGAAACGAUAGCUAAUACCGCAUAACAGUAGAUAUCGCAUGAUAGCUACUUGAAAGGUGCAAAUGCACCACUACCAGAUGGACCUGCGUUGUAUUAGCUAGUUGGUGAGGUAACGGCUCACCAAGGCAACGAUACAUAGCCGACCUGAGAGGGUGAUCGGCCACACUGGGACUGAGACACGGCCCAGACUCCUACGGGAGGCAGCAGUAGGGAAUCCUCGGCAAUGGACGGAAGUCUGACCGAGCAACGCCGCGUGAGUGAAGAAGGGUUUCGGAUCGUAAAGCUCUGUUGUAAGAGAAGAACGAGUGUGAGAGUGGAAAGUUCACACUGUGACGGUAUCUUACCAGAAAGGGACGGCUAACUACGUG
rnacentral:rRNA from 1 species